GGGACAGUGGCGAAACUGGUUGAAACGCACUAGAUUUAGGAUCUAGCACAGAUUAACGAUCACAUUGUGGGUUCGAAUCCCACCUGUCCUA
rnacentral:tRNA from 1 species